GACCGUAGCAAAUUAGAGAUGGCUGCAUUAUGGAGAUACUGGCGACACUUCAACCUUGUGAGUUGUUUGGUGACAAAAUUUGAAGGAACUUGAGUUUUUGUUCCAGUCUGCUCAAAUAUCUUAUGCACUAAUCUCUAAUGAAAAUUCUAGGUGGAAGCCAUCCCCGUCCCAUCUAAAGAGCAACUAAUUGAUGUUGUCCAAAGGCAUUUCAUGUCGCAGCAAAUGGACGAGCUGCAGGUGAUUGUGGGGUUUGUGCAAGCUGCAAAGAGACUGAAAACCAUGUGCAAAUGACCCUUCGACACUAGUCAGCAAUUGAGGGUGAUCUUUUGCAUUUGGUCAAUAUUGACGCAAGCUAACAGAUACCACCGGGUACUCUGAUGCCCUCUUCUCUCUUCUGGUGAUAAUAUCAUACAUACAUAUAUGUAUCCCUAAGGCGUGCUUUACCCCCCUGUAUUUUUUUCUUCCUCAUUUGGGUUUCAGUUAGUAGGUUGCUAUUUAUGCCAUCCCGAGUUAUAGAGGUUUUCCCCUUUCUUCUCGGUAGUUUAAUAUAGUUAUGUAGAUAUAUGUGAACUUUGGGAAGAGAUGUUCUCCAAGGGAGCCCUGCGGCUUCCAAGUGCUUGGUUGAAUGUAUUACUGACUGGAGGGAAGGUGGGCUUUUUCUGUUUUUCGUUUUUUAAAUGUAUAUUCUUUAGUUCUUUGCA